rnacentral:rRNA from 1 species
GACAGAGGAUGCAAGCGUUAUCCGGAAUGAUUGGGCGUAAAGCGUCUGUAGGUGGCUUUUUAGGUCUGCCGUCAAAUCCCAGGGCUUAACCCUGGACAGGCGGUGGAAACUACCAAGCUGGAGUACGGUAGGGGCAGGGGGAAUUUCCGGUGGAGCGGUGAAAUGCGUAGAGAUCGGAAAGAACACCAACGGCGAAAGCACUCUGCUGGGCCGAUACUGACGCUGAGGAGCGAAAGCGUGGGGAGCAAACAGG